rnacentral:misc_RNA from 1 species
GAUGAAGAACGUAGCGAAAUGCGAUAAGUAAUGUGAAUUGCAGAAUUCAGUGAAUCAUCGAAUCUUUGAACGCACAUUGCGCCCGCCAGUAUUCUGGCGGGCAUGCCUGUUCGAGCGUCAUUUCAACCCUCAAGACCCCUUCGGGGGACUUGGUGUUGGGGACCGGCACAGGGGCCUGCCUGCUUGUCUUGCAGCGCCCUCGCCGCCCCCGAAAUGAAUUGGCGGCCUCGUCGCGGCCUCCCCUGCGUAGUAGCACAAACCUCGCAACGGGAACGUGACGGCGGCCACUGCCGUAAAACAACCCAACUUCUGAACGUUGACCUCGAAUCAGGUAGGACUACCCGCUGAACUUAAGCAUAUCAAUAAGCGGAGGA